GUAGGUGGCAAGCGUUGUCCGGAAUUAUUGGGCGUAAAGCGCGCGCAGGCGGUUCUUUAAGUCUGAUGUGAAAGCCCACGGGCUCAACCGUGGAGGGUCAUUGGAAACUGGAGGACUUGAGUACAGAAGAGGAAAGCGGAAUUCCACGUGUAGCGGUGAAGUGCGUAGAGAUGUGGAGGAACACCAGUGGCGAAGGCGGCUUUCUGGUCUGUAACUGACGCUGAGGCGCGAAAGCGUGGGGAGCAAACAGGAUUAGAUACCCUGGUAGUCCACGCCGUAAACGAUGAGUGCUAAGUGUUAGGGGGUUUCCGCCCCUUAGUGCUGCAGCUAACGCAUUAAGCACUCCGCCUGGGGAGUACGGCCGCAAGGCUG
rnacentral:rRNA from 1 species